rnacentral:rRNA from 1 species
GGGGUGGAAGAUUAGGGUGCGUGGUGGCUGUGUAUCCCGGUACCGGUGGGGGGCUAGAGGGUGGAAGAAGGGGCGGGCCCCGGGGUCUGGGGAUGGAAGAAGGAGCGGCCUCGGGGUGUUGGGUGGUGGAAGAGGUACCGGAGGAGGGGGUGGCCACCGGCGCGAGCAGUCCGGGCUGGAGCAGCCUUGGGGCGCCGCUCGGGGAUGGGGCUGCCCCCGGAUAGGAGGAGGUCACCGAGCCUGGUGGUACCGAGGCGGUGUUUAGACUUUGUUCUGAGGCCGCCCCCUGACGGGGGGCGCGACCGGUCCCAGCAGGAGAGACAGGUACCGGUCUGCUUCUGAUCAGCACGCGGGGAAGUGGCGGUAGCUGCGCUGAACCAGUUGUCGGUUUCGGUACCGGUGGUUCGCGCAGGCGUUGUCGUUGUAUUAACUUCACGCGGCCCCGUGCGCUACGCCAAGCCACUGCGCACCAGCACAUCAAGCGCCGGUGGUGUCCGGGGGAGUGGAGAUGGAGGUACCGGUGCAGGAGUUGAUCGCCGCGGGACGGGAGCAGCGGCCGGUACCGCGGCGUCGGUGGUCCGAGCUCGCAGACGAGAAGAGGGAACUGGGAAACGAUCGGCCGCAGUGGGGCCCGGCUAGGUCCGUCAACCCGCCCCCACACCUACACGUCCCAUCACGAGGGGCUCCACGUCACGCCGCACGCACGCACGUCAGGUUUUUAGCCUCCGCACGUCACAUCAUCUCGUGGUCUACCGUCACCGGUUGUCGGGGAGCUAGGGCAGAGAGACGGCUGCCGUUGAUGAGUGUACCGCGACGAGGAACCUGGGCGAGGUAGUGGCCGUAGGGCGGCUAUGCUGCUCGUCGUUACCUCCUGGGGACGUCUAGGGCACGAGGAGCAGUUGCCGUCGGCGGUGGACAACAGAUCUACUUCUUCUUCGCCAAACGUCAGGUGCGCUACGGCCGCACGUCAGACACACACGUCGAGGGUCGGGUUGCUGCCGGACUAGGAGAGGUAAAAACCUCAAUUAAAUAAAGGGGGUUACAGUGGAGUGAGGAACAUCUUUCGUUGUUCAAAAUAGUUUGAACCACUCCAGGGUCGGUGGGUGCCGUACGUUAUGCCUAUCACUGCUGCACGUCAAACGACACGCUUACGACAGGUCCUAAACGGUAACCUCUAACAGAUUUAGGAUCACCACCACAAGGAAGGGCGGCCACCACCACGAUGACGCUCGACCUCACCUCGAGAUGGGACUGCGCACCGCGAUGUCAGGGAGAACCAACAGGGAGUGGCGAUAUGAGGAGAGAGUUCAUCUCUCGUAGUCAAGCUAAACAUUACGUACGCAGAUCAAGGUCGCCGGCUCCAUCUUCGUCAAAUCACCGUCGCACGAACGUCAAACCACGUACAACAGAAUGUAAAGCCAACGUUUUUUUACUACGUAUAUUCUACGCAGGUCAACGCCAAAUCAACGACGCGACUACAUCAAAACGAUCCCAUGCUCCACCACGAAGCAACACGUCACCUUUUUUGUUUCUUUUUCCUUUUCCUGUUUUAUCUUCUUACGUCAUGUGUACCGAGCAGUGAUGUCAGGGUUUUCGUACAAUUACUUUUUGUAACAGGAUUUAUUACAAUGUACUUUUACAGUCGUCAUUGAGCACGUAAAGUAUCUCAAAUGCCAUCGUGG